UCGCCUUUCAAUCCUUAUUUGCUCGUUUUAGCUCAUUUUCUUCUCUCUAUGACACAAACCUACAAAAACACUAAAAUAACGUAAAUCAAUCACAAAUAAGGAAACUAAACACAAAUAUCAAGAUUAAAGGGCUUAGAAAUAUAGGAUAAUAUGAGCACAUCAAAGAUCUGACAAGAGGAUCCGUGACCCGUUCCACCUCCACCACCGCUAACCUCUACCCCGUCGCUCUGCCAUCCACAACGACGUCAAGCCUCCAUGGAGUGACAUAGAUUGACACGACCCACCCCGAAUUUCACCCUGAAACCUGGAGUAAGUCGUGCGGGGACCACCUCCAAGGAAAAUUUACUGAAAGAAAAAUUUACUGAAAGGAUUGAGAAAAUCUCCUUUCCAGAUGGACAACUCUAACUCAAAAAUUCCAAAUUUCACUUUUAAUACAACACGUCCAAACAUCACAUAAUUAUCCUUCAGAAAUUGUCAGGACCCGCCCCGAAUUUCACCCCUAAACCCGAGAUGAGUCCUGCGGGGACCACCUCCAAGGAAAAUUUACCGAAGACUCGGCAAACCUCCCUCGAAAAUGGACAACCCUAACUUAAGAAUUUAAGAACCACUUUUUAUUCCAAUAAAAUAAAUCUUCAGCUACAAUCCAUAAGUAGCCAGAAUACAAACAUAAGAAUUCCAAUAGUAUUCAGAGCUACUAAAAAUCAAAUAAAAUACAACGGAAGCUAACAAACUCCUAGUAGAUUAAACAGGUAACCUACUGGCGAAAUGUAGCUGAUAGCUGGGUCACUAUGCCUCAACAUCUCCUGCUGGACCUCACACGAACUCUGCAGACUGGGCAUUUUUAAAAACGAAGGGCCCAGGGGAAAAUAUUUAACACGUCAGAGUGAGUGGACAAAACUGAUCUGACAACAAAUAAAUAUUUCCCCAAAAGAAAUGCUUUCCACAGUGGCAAAAACACGAACUCCACUGGAACGACUCUGAACUGGGGUCCAGCCUAGCUAGAACCCCCAAACUUUAAGAAACUGCCUCUCAGGCCUGGAUAUUAUAUAUAUAGUAUGUAUGCACACUCGCCUGACCCUUGGCAUGAUAUCUAUGAACAACUUGAAUAAAGUAGAUAUCAUACGAAGCUACUAUGCUUGCGUCUAACACUCACAUCACCCCACACCGGAAUUGUACCUCGCAUAUGAGGGAAAGCGGCCGAGUGGUAAUAUAUAUACGUGCUUACUCCUUGUACGACAUCUUUGAAUAAAUAAAUGCAAGAAUAGAAAGUCGCACAGGGCUACGACACUCGCGUCUAACGCUCAUGUCACCCAUACCGGAAUUAUACCUCGCGUAUGGGGGAAAUCACGUAUAGCUAGCUAGCAUUUAAUCAUAUACAUACUAUUCUCGGAAUUGAACCUCGAGUAUAAUCCACCGAAAUUCUCAAUUUCGGGAAAUAUCCAAUAACAGAAAAAUCAAUCAAAUGAUAAAGCAUUUCAGAUAUAAUAUUCAAAACAAAGGUCCACUCACAACUUAGGCCUAAGCCUGACGUCGGUCGGAGGUCUCCUCUGCUCGAGCCUCCUCGCGUCCUGUUCCAUAUACAUAAAACCUUAAAUGAAACACCGACGUUUAAAUUGCCAAACAUGCAUAAUUAAAUAUGCUACGCGCUUAACCAAGCCUAACACUCCAAAAUCUUAAAUCCACUGCCAACCUCAAAACUCCACAAAUUUUACCGACUUCCUCAAAAUCACUUUCCACCAAAUAAAAUCCAAUGGCCGGAUUAUAAAUUAAUAAUCCGCCAAAAAUACUUAACUUCAACAAAUCUCAAACCUACCCAAAACUCCUCCAAAAAUUCUAAAGCUUAUUCCAUUAAACUCCUCACAUUUUUCUCCACCAAAAACAUUUUCUCGGCGGCGGCCGGCGACCAAUUCCGGCGACCUCCGAUGGUCACCAAAUUUUGGCAGCAUCUUCCUCUCAACCUCCUCUACAACAUUCUUAACUACCACAAACUCCAAUUCUAAGCCUAAGCACAUCAAUCGAACACAAAUACACAAAAAGCCCUAGAAAUUUCAAGUUCCCAUUUCUCCUUACCUAGCUCACGACGGAGCGAGCCCUUUGGAGGGAUUGAAGCACGGGAGGAGGGCUUCCUUUUGGGCUAUGGCUCGCCGGAUAUGGCAGCCGGAGGAGGGAGUUCCGGCGAGAAAACCGAUUCGGCAGUCGGAGCUUUCGGGCGACGUUUCUCCCUCACGACCGCGCUAGGGAGGCUGCCACCGGUCUAGAAAU
rnacentral:lncRNA from 1 species